CAAUUAAAAACAAUAUCACCUUUUCAUUUCCGUUUUUAAAUUCACUUAUUUUCUGGACUUCCUGAUAUCUCCCUCUUUUGUAUUCCAGUCCAAAUUGUUUGUCCAGCAAUUUCUUUUCCACUUUUUUAAUCCCAAUCUUUAAUCUUAAUGUAAUAUAGCAUUAAAAUUUUACCUCUUAAGUACCAAAUUUCCAUUUCAUUAAAUUUCUUUAAUCCUAAUCUUUAAUCUUAGUCUAUCUAUAACUUUAUCCUGUACAGCUGGAAACCACUUAUUUUCAAUCCAACAUCACUCUAACAUUCUUUAAUUUUGCAGUGUUUCUGUAGAUAAUCUUUGAAUUUCUUCCAAUCUUCCUCCACCGACUCUUCUCCCUGGUCACGGAUUCUGCCAGUCAUUUCCGCCAGUUCCAUAUAGUCCAUCAGUUUCAUCUGCCAUUCCUCCAGCGUGGGAAGUUCUUGUGUCUUCCAAUACUUUGCGAU